AAAGUUAGAGAAAAUUGUACCAAACAUUAAGCAAGAAUCAAGAGGUAAAAAUAUGAUGUUCUUCAAGUGUUCUUGGCCUUCAAAAGUCUUCAAAACUCCAGAGAGAAUCUCCAAAAAUCGGAUGUCCAAGAGUCUCCAAAAGAUGGGCACCAACCUUCCUCAAAUAGCUCAAAAGAAGAAUUUCCGAAACUGCCCCUGCAGGAGGUUGCGCGACCCGCGUGCUGUUGCGCGGGUGGUCCCUGGAUGUAACAUCUUUGAGGUUUUGGGCCUCCAUAGCUUAGCCCACUUAGCCCAGAUCGAAUCCAAUCACCUCCUAGCCCAUUUUCUUCAAGUUUUUCUUCAUUUUAAGCCCAAUUUGACCUCUCCAAAUCCUCCAAAGCUCGUGCACUCUCCCGAUUAAAAAUCUACGCACGCUUGAAUAAACUCCCGCAUCUUGCAAAUUUAAAGUUUAUUUCUCUCCAAGCCUUCAAAUAACCAUCAAGCUCGCUCCAUGCAUAAUCUCCACAAUCACCAAGCCUAACAUCAUUUUUGUCUACCAAAUCUCAUCGCUUCCCAUACGUCCCGAACACUCCCGCUCCGCUAGACCCGAAAACCUGCAAUUAUGCUCACAAGAUUCGAAAGUACCCGAAAUAGUCAUAAAAUAACAAAAGGGAAAAUAUGCAUGGAAAUUAUCUAAAUUAUGAAUGAAAUAUGCUAAAAUAAACUAUAAAAAGAAGUAAACAAAACUAACUAUCAAAUCACCCCAAGCUUAAACCUUACUUGUCCUCAAGUAAGACAAGACUAAAAUGAACUUGGGAUGAACUAUCCUAGAGAAAAUAAAAAGAAUGGAUAGAGCCGCAGAACCUGAUCACCGUUAGUCAACAUGGUCAGAAUUGAUCUUGCUAUUACCUCACGAAUUUUUCAUCCGAUGACAAUGGUACCAUAAACCACAGCCAGGAUAACUCCUUUAGGUGAGUAAGGAGGGAUGAGCAGUCGCAGCCUCAAUGGAACAUGCAUACAAUGAAGAAUAUCUGUAGUAGGGAGAAAGCAGUUGGAUGGGCUCGGGUGGAGCUCUUCUUUAAGUGUACACUCUGAUCUCACGUUUGCCGGUUUCUCUCAUGUGUAACUAGGUUUAAUCGCUCGGGCACCGUUGUAGGAAUCGGUUCACUUGGUGUUGGCCCAAACCUCCCGUAGUAUCCGACUCGACAGUCUCCCUAACAUCACCAAUUUGCGAAAAACAACUCGAUCUAUAUACACUAAAACAUACCUAAAUAAAUGAAUAUCAAACGCCGGGUGACCAAAAUGUUGGAAGAUUUAGUUCAAUAAUUGAACCGGUCACCCUUCUCAGAUUUCUGCAGCUGGGAAUUUGCCUGCCCCUUUUUUUUGGUUUUUUUUUUUUUGUUUUGUUUUGUUUUGUUUUGUUUUUGUUUUUGUUUUUGUUUUUGUUUUUGUUUUUGUUUUUGUUUUUUUUUUUUUUUUUUUUUUUUUUUUUUGUUAUACUUGAAGGUAAUGUAAUAACAACCCUUUGACUCAAAAUUUGGUUCCUAAAGUGUGUAAGUGGAACCGAAAGGGUAGUAAUAUAAUCCGAAUGGUCUCAGCGAGAAAAUGACCAUGUGUGGAGCAUAAAGAUAUAAUGUAAGCUCCUCUUCAAAUUUGUGAUUUUUUUUUUCAAAAAUAAUGAAAAUGUCCACAUGCGGACUAAAAGACUUCUCUAAAAUCCUAAGAAAAUCGCAAAAAGAUAUGGUGAUGUAAAGAGACCGGAUAUGGAUUCUACUCGGGGACAAGCACUAGUGCUUCAUCCUAACGGUUCAAACAUGAUCAAGUGUGAUCCUCUCGGCGGUAGUGACCGCAAGGCUAAGACAUCCAUUGCUAUAGUAUAUCCUACAGUCAUUAGUAUUGUAUGCAUAAUUCUUCAUGAAAACUACCUGUCCAUGAUCACUUACCCCUUUAAGCUACCAGCAUCUGAUCCCAAGUAUGAGAUCCCAAACUGCAGCUAAUGGUCCCGGUUCGAUGGGUGAGAUAACAACAAGAUCCUGGACCAAUAAUGAUACAAUAACUGUGAACCUAUUCCAUGGCAUCCAGGGGUGAGAAUAAACAGACAACAAAAAUGCAUGAAUGUUAAUGCCUAAGCUAAAUGUUAUGCAAAAAUAUAAAAGGUGAAAAAGAAAAAAUAAAAUUUUUUUGGAUUUAAAAAAAAUGAAUGAAAAUUAGCUUAAAUCUAAAAUGUUAUGCAACCUAAUUAAAAAUGCAUGGAAAAAAAAUAUAAAAGGAAAAUGAAAUGCCCCACCCCAAGCUUAAGAACAAGCAUUGUCCUCAAUGCUUAAGGUAAGGGCAAAAAUGACCUAAAUCGGAGGAUUGGAUGACGGGAGAUGUCUGUGGCGGUGAUUUCGUGAAAUUACGACCGGUAGAAUUCCGACAAUCUUGAAUUUUCCGGCGAGGUGGUUGCUGGAAGGUUAUAUGAGAGGAAUGGAGUGGGAGGUCAAGAUGAUUAAAUGAAGAAGAAGGGAAGCUGAACAUUUUAAUCUAUGGGUCAAAAAGGGUCAAUUUCGGUCAAUGUUGGUCAAGAAAAGUCAAAAGGUCAACUCAUUAAAACCUUUGGUCAACACCUGGUCAAAUAAUAGCCAAAAAUAGCCCAAAUUGCCCAGCACAGUGCGCGGGUCGCGCAGAGUAGCACGCGGGUCGCGCAGACCUUGCAGUUAAGUCUUGGGCCAAUGUCGCUUCAUCACACAUGGCCGCGCAACCCACCCGCGCAACAGCACGCGCGUCGCGCAACCUCCUGAUCCUGAUCUUCAUUUUUGCUUCAUUUUUCUUCGUUUUUCACCCGUUCUUGCUUUGGAAGGCCCCAAACACCUAGAAACUCUUGAUUUCUUAAAAAACAACUCUUUUGAAUCCCAAAAACAUCUUCAAAACUCAUUUAUUCAAAUUAAAAACACGAAAACACAAUGCUUUCCAAAAAUGCCCUUCUUUAACGUCUUUGGCGAGACGCCUCCAAACUUCACUUUAACACUUUGGGGCGUCCAAAUGGACGACAUCUUGGACAUUUGAAUCAAAACCUUCAUUGAAUGGCUUCAAUCGAUGUCCAUUAACCUUGCAAAUUUGCCCCGUGUCUACAUUUUUUAAUUUCCACACCUCCAUUGGGACUCUUUUCUUGUAUUUGACUUUCUUUUUACGGGAGAACCAUACCGGACUCAGACCUUUGAUAAUAGCAAUCAUCCAACCAUAUUCUCUCUUGUACUUGUUCAGUAAGGUGACCAACUCUUCCCUCUUUGACAUGGUGGUUGAGUAGGUGACCGGUUGGGCGUCUUCUUUCUCGGGAUAGGUAUCCUUUGAAGGGUCCGGCAGAUUUAUCGUUUCCGGAUCUUGUGGUUGUUCUGCCACUAGAGUUAGUUUCUCAUUGGUAGUGGGUGGCUCAAUAUCUCUUUCGUUAACCCCUAUUACUUCGUUUACAGUUUCAUUGACAACAUUCUCAAUUUCUUCUUCCUCUUUGACAACUUCUUCCACUUCUACUUCUUCUUCCUCUUCUUCAUAUAACACUCUUGGGCCAUCAAAAGUUUUCUCAUCUUUCAAAGGAAUGCAACAUGCGUUAUGACAUGGGUUCUCUUGAGAUGGUAAUUUGUGUUGAGCUUCCACUAUACUCAAUGAUUGAGCAAUUUGUGUUAUUUGUUGCUCUAAGCUUUUGAGGCUAGCUUGAGUUGUUUCCUGGAAAAUUUGGGUAGAAGUGGCAAUGCUUUUCACAAUGUCCUCUAAGGACAUGCUUGGCGUUUCAGUUUGUUGAGGAGGGUAAGGAUAGGGUUCUUGGAACAGUGGAGUUGGUUGGUAUUGGUUAUUUCCCCAUGUUUGGUAUGGGUUUUGGUAAUGGUUAUUUCCCCAAACUUGGUUGUUGUCCCACCAUUGAUCAUGUUGAGGCUGAUCAUAACUCCAUUGGUUUGACCGGUAGUAGCUUCCUUUCUCUUGCACUUCUUCCCAUUCUCCUUGUAAAUAUGGACACAUGUCGGAAUGAUGUCCAUUUUGGGCGCAAAAAUCACAAAGAAGAGGUGUGGGCUGCACACUUUGGUCACUUUCAAUCAUCAUAACUAACUGAGCUAGCUCAGAAAGUUGGUCUUCGGUGCAAGGAGUGUUCAUUUCCAAAUCAUAUUUUUUUUUUUAAUUUCGGGGUUUUAAAUUAGAGUACCUGCACAAUGAGAUGUAGGCAUAGAGAAACAAACUGAUUAAAUCAAAACCAAUCCCCGGCAACGGCGCCAAAAAUUUGGUGGUUGUCGAGGCCAACACAAAUAAUAACCCUAAAUAUUACACACUAAAAUAGUGUAUAGUGGUAAAGGGAUCGAAUCCACGGAGAUUGGUUCAAUUUAUAACUCUAUGAAAAAUCUCUUUGUAAAAAUACUUGUAAAAUGACAAUAAAAAUAAAAUGGGGGGUUUUGGUGUUUUGAAAUACUUGAAACAAACUAGAAUUAACUAUGAUUUAAAUAGACAAAUGCAACAAAAAUAAGAGUUUGAUGUAAAAUCAAUAAGGGAGAGAUGGUUGACUUAAAGUUUCCUCACUUUGACUUUUGAUGAACAUAUCAUUAGAAUCCAAUGGUGCAAUACUUUGAUUUAAAUCCUUAAUUUGGCUAUAGUAAUCCAAGGAGCUUGAGAUUACCUAGACUUUUCUUAAUUGUUGAAAUGGCUAGAGAAGCUCAUAACAAUUUCCUUAGUCAAAGUCACUAAUUCCAAAUAGCAUGUAAUUAGUGAAAGUCAACUAGCAUUAAGAACCAAAAAGUCACCAAAUCCAAGAGGGGUCAAAUGCUUUCACCACCAUGUUGGAGGAAAUGUUUUUAUGAUUGUGUGAAGCAAAAACAACACAAAAAUCAUUUGUUGCUUGCUAAUUUGAGGAUCCUUUACUUAAUCAAGAAAUUAGCCAACUAAUCACCACAAACACAUUUAAACUCAUGAACUAAAACAUACAAGUAGUGAUAAGAUGUUAAAACACAAAACAUUCCCAUAAAGAUUUAAGAACAUGUUCAUGGAUUCUUCAACAUUCAACAAAAGUUCAAAGGAUUAACCAAAAGUCAACCAAGAUUAGUUUAGCCAAGCAUGGCUAAACCCAAAGAAACAAAGUUAGAGAAAAUUGUACCAAACAUUAAGCAAGAAUCAAGAGGUAAAAAUAUGAUGUUCUUCAAGUGUUCUUGGCCUUCAAAAGUCUUCAAAACUCCAGAGAGAAUCUCCAAAAAUCGGAUGUCCAAGGGUCUCCAAAAGAUGGGCACCAACCUUCCUCAAAUAGCUCAAAAGAAGAAUUUCCGAAACUGCCCCUGCAGGAGGUUGCGCGACCCGCGUGCUGCUGCGCGGGUGGGUUGCGCGGGUGGUCCCUGGAUGUAGCAUCUUUGAGGUUUUGGGCCUCCAUAGCUUAGCCUACUUGGCCCAGAUCAAAUCCAAUCACCUCCUAGCCCAUUUUCUUCAAGAUUUUCUUCAUCUUAAGCCCAAUUUGACCUCUCCAAAUCCUCCAAAGCUCGUGAACUCGCCCGAUUAAUAAUCUACGCACGCUUGAAUAUUCCCCCGCAUCUUGCAAAUUUAAAGUUUAUUUCUCUCCAAGCCUUCAAAUAAUCAUCAAGAUCACUCCAUGCAUCAUCUCCACUACCCAUCAAGCCCAAAAUCCUCGACGUCCUCUUAUUCUAAUUGCUUUCCAUACGUCCCGAACAUUCCUUCUCCACUAGUCUCCAUGAAAUCUGCAAUAAAGCUCACAAAACUGGAAAGUACCCGAAAUUGGCCAUAAAAUAACAAAAAGAAAAAUAUGCAUGGAAAUUAUCUAAAUUAUGAAUGAAAUAUGUUAAAAUAAACUAUAAAAAGAAGUAAAUAAAAUGAACUAUCAA
rnacentral:lncRNA from 1 species